rnacentral:rRNA from 1 species
GUCCACGCCGUAAACGUUGCAGACUAGGUAUUCGGAGUAUCGACCCUCUGUGUACCGAAGCUAACGCGAGAAGUCUGCCGCCUGGGAAGUACGGCCGCAAGGCUAAAACUCAAAUGAAUUGACGGGGGCUCGCACAAGCGGUGGAGCAUGUGGUUUAAUUCGACACUAACCGAGGAACCUUACCCAGACUUGACAUCUCCGGAACCCUGCAGAAAUGCGGGGGUGCCUUCGGGAGCCGGAUGACAGGUGAUGCACGGUCGUCGU